rnacentral:rRNA from 1 species
UACGGAGGGUGCGAGCGUUGUCCGGAAUCACUGGGCGUAAAGAGCGCGCAGGCGGUCGAUCAAGUCGAGUGUGAAAGCCCCCGGCUCAACUGGGGAGGGUCAUUCGAUACUGAUCGACUCGAAGGCAGGAGAGGGUAGUGGAAUUCCCGGUGUAGUGGUGAAAUGCGUAGAUAUCGGGAGGAACACCAGUGGCGAAGGCGACUACCUGGCCUGUUCUUGACGCUGAGGCGCGAAAGCUAGGGGAGCAAACGGGG